AGUGAACGCUGGCGGUAGGCCUAACACAUGCAAGUCGAACGGCAGCACAGUAAGAGCUUGCUCUUACGGGUGGCGAGUGGCGGACGGGUGAGGAAUACAUCGGAAUCUACUUUUUCGUGGGGGAUAACGUAGGGAAACUUACGCUAAUACCGCAUACGACCUACGGGUGAAAGCAGGGGAUCUUCGGACCUUGCGCGAUUGAAUGAGCCGAUGUCGGAUUAGCUAGUUGGCGGGGUAAAGGCCCACCAAGGCGACGAUCCGUAGCUGGUCUGAGAGGAUGAUCGGCCCCACUGGACCUGGGAACCGUUCCGGCCCCCUCGGGAGGCAGCAGUGGGGAAUAUUGGACAAUGGGCGCAAGCCUGAUCCAGCCAUACCGCGUGGGUGAAGAAGGCCUUCGGGUUGUAAAGCCCUUUUGUUGGGAAAGAAAAGCAGCAGGUUAAUACCCCGCUGUUCUGACGGUACCCAAAGGAUAAGCACCGGCUAACUUCGUG
rnacentral:rRNA from 1 species